GUGCAGCAGCCACUUAGGAUUUACCUUCGCAGCCCACACUCGCAAACAUUUAUGGCCGCACCGGAGGCAAACAACAAAGGCAUUUUAAUUAAAUUAAAUUCGUGCGAAAACAAUUUGAAGAAGAAAUAUAUUUAUAUUUUACGAGCGUGCCCUGCGAAAAACGGGGCAAAUAAAAAGUCCGAGCAGCAGGAACGUGUUGCGACCAGCAAAUUGAGCUGAAGACCAGACCGAUAUACAAUGCCGAAAGACGACCAAUCUGCAGCCGAAAAGGAUGUGCCUGCCAACACAAAAGCGGUUCAUUAAUUGAAUGGGGAAUUACAACAAAGUCAGCGAUAAGUUGUCUAGCCAACCACCGGGCGAGCACUCAGCCAUUCAGCCACUCAACCACUCAACCACUCGAACAAUCAACCACUCAACCUCCUGUGUACCGUGUCCUGUGUCGGAGUCCGAGUCGGAGACAAACCGCAUUUCUUGGAGCAAGCAGCUGGCCGAAACCCUGGCAACAAAAUGGUCUCCAGUUUCAAGGGUAAUACAAGACGAUAAUUGGAAUCGGAAAAGCAAAGUGCAGUGGACAGCGAGGUGUAUAAUCAUCACUCAAAUUAUGCGUACAGCUCGUACAUAUUUAUAGCAUUGCAAAUUUAAAUGAUAAAUGCUUACACAAAAUGUAACAUACAAAUA
rnacentral:sRNA from 1 species